AUUCCUCCUUGGUGGAGUUUUCCCCAGUGACCCUAGAACCUUCUGGUACAGUGCAGCAUCACAUGCUCCAUGCAGUUAUAUUCAGCUAGUGGGAAGGCUGUCAUCCAAUAUGUUGAUGGUACUGUGUUGUCUAUCAUAUUUCAAACAUCUGAAACUACAAAACUAAAGAACAGAAUGUCUUCGUUUCCCCAUUUAUCAUUUCUGCUCCCAUAGGAUCUGUCAUUGCAGAAUUCAUUUUCAAAGUGAGGGAUCAUAUGGUGACAACAGAAGAGGAAGUUGCCAAAAAUGCUUUCUGAGUGGGUAAUAAAUCAAUGUAUUAAACAUCAGCUGAGGUAAUACUGAAGGCAAAAGGCUCAAUGGACAUUUGCCAUAAAAACAACAACAAAAAAUAGUUCAGGAAACUAUAGAUAUAUGAAUCUGCAGGGAUUUUCACUUUCAUACUGCUGUCUUGCACUCCCACUGAAACUCCUUUCUUUCAUUCAAUUUAGUAAUAAUGAAAAAGGAGGUCAGCUCCCUGUUUAAGUAAACAAGCAGAUGGAAACAACACCAACAUCACUUGGAGGCUUGGGCAGGGAACUUAGGCAGAUGUCAGUACUUCCCAAUUCUUUUCCAC
ensembl:lncRNA